GAUGAAGAACGCAGCGAAAUGCGAUAAGUAAUGUGAAUUGCAGAAUUCAGUGAAUCAUCGAAUCUUUGAACGCACAUUGCGCCCGCCAGUAUUCUGGCGGGCAUGCCUGUUCGAGCGUCAUUUCAACCAUCAAGCCCCGGGCUUGUGUUGGGCACCUGCGGCUGCCGCAGGCCCUGAAAUGCAGUGGCGGGCUCGCUGUCACUCCGAGCGUAGUAGUUACAUCUCGCUCUGGGCGUGCUGCGGGUUCCGGCCGUUAAAAGCCUUAUUUACCCAAGGUUGACCUCGGAUCAGGUAGGAAGACCCGCUGAACUUAAGCAUAUCAAUAAGCGGAGGA
rnacentral:misc_RNA from 1 species